rnacentral:rRNA from 1 species
AUGGAAACCGAUUGCCUAGAGGUGGUGAACCUCUGGAAUUCUCGUCACAAUAGUCGGUCUGUUGUGGCACCGGUACUAGUAGAAAUUGGAGAGCUAGCUUCCUCUUUUACUUAUUUUUGUAUCCAACAUGUAAUGAGGUCAGCCAAUGUACCGGCCCAUCUUUGUGCAAAGCGAGCUAGCACAUUGACGGUCACCGAGAGUUGGACUGAUGAUAGACCACCUUUCCUGCUCACUAGCCUUUUGGCUGAUGAUGCUAGGAGUUCGUUUGUUGAAUAA